ACGAACGCUGGCGGCAUGCCUAACACAUGCCAGUCGAACGCACCCUUCGGGGUUAGUGGCGCACGGGUGCGUAACGCGUGGGAAUCUGCCCUUUGCUUCGGAAUAACUCAGGGAAACUUGUGCUAAUACCGGAUGAUGUCUUCGGACCAAAGAUUUAUCGGCAAGGGAUGAGCCCGCGUAGGAUUAGGUAGUUGGUGGGGUAAAGGCCUACCAAGCCGACGAUCCUUAGCUGGUCUGAGAGGAUGAUCAGCCACACUGGGACUGAGACACGGCCCAGACUACUACGGGAGGCAGGAGUGGGGAAUAUUGGAAAAUGGGCGCAAGCCUGAUACAGCAAUGCCGCGUGAGUGAUGAAGGCCCUCGGGUCGUAAAGCUCUUUUACCAGGGAUGAUAAUGACAGUACCUGGAGAAUAAGCACCGGCUAACUCCGUG
rnacentral:rRNA from 1 species